rnacentral:lncRNA from 1 species
UUUCCAAUUAGCUCUCUUUUUUUUUGGUAUAGGAAGAUGAGAUUGGAGGGGGGUGACUUGGUGCAACUACCUCCCCUUGGCGUGAUCAUAAGGCCCCAAUCCCUGCUGGAGAAUAUUCGAUUAGAAGAGCAAUUUUUAAGAGAAGACUCCUCCUCCCCACCAUAUAGACUGACCUAUGGCCAAGCCCAACGGGUGAGUAUGUCCCCCUUGCACCACCGUGGGCCAGAGGACUAGAAACCUCUUGCAGACCCCAUACUUGAACCGUCAGGAUCAGCUCCCUCGCAGUCAUGUACGUUCUGAUAUUUAAUCAAAGCUGCAGUGUCCUCUACGACUCGAACUCGAGCUGCUUGGUUGGAAGCCAGUGGCCUGUUCCACUGGAUUACCAUCG